GCCUUGAAGACACCAGUAAGAAUUAUGCAGAUUUCAUUCUAAGUGAUUGAAGGCAAGCCAAGGCAGCCAAGGGAACACUGGAGAUUUGUAGUAGCUGAGAUCAUCAAUUGGAUUAAGGUUGUCACAAUACAAAUGGAGAGAAAGGGCCAGUUGGGUUUUUUAUGUUGGAGCCAGUUUUCUACAGAAGACAGUGGAAAACACAUGUAAACUACCACUAACCCACUCACAGUCACUUUGGGGCUCCAGCAACCAUGGAUAAUGAGAUUACCAAGCUCUUCUGGGAAGACAAUGUGUUCCAACAAUGGCCCGUUCCACAUGCUUUCUUUAUAUGAGUGACACUCCUCUUUAUCCACAAGAUGUGUGCCCUGAGCAACAGCAACCAUGCUGUGAAGAAGCACAAACCAGCCUAGACUGAUAGAUGGCAUACAAAGGCUCACAUGGAGUGGAACUGAGGUCCCCAGCCAGCAGCCAGCAGCCAGCCUCAACUACCAGCCCAGUGAGUGAAUGAAGCUUCAAAUGAUUCUACCACUCAGCUUUUGAUCCACUUCAGCUGUUGCCAUGUAGCGCUAAGACAAGUUAUCCCCACUAAAUCCUGCCCAAAUUACAGAUUAAUGAGCAAAACA